GGGGGUCAUCCCGACUUACCAACCCGAUGCAAACUGCGAAUACCGGAGAAUGUUAUCACGGGAGACACACGGCGGGUGCUAACGUCCGUCGUGAAGAGGGAAACAACCCAGACCGCCAGCUAAGGUCCCAAAGUCAUGGUUAAGUGGGAAACGAUGUGGGAAGGCCCAGACAGCCAGGAUGUUGGCUUAGAAGCAGCCAUCAUUUAAAGAAAGCGUAAUAGCUCACUGGUCGAGUCGGCCUGCGCGGAAGAUGUAACGGGGCUAAACCAUGCACCGAAGCUGCGGCAGCGACACUAUGUGUUGUUGGGUAGGGGAGCGUUCUGUAAGCCUGUGAAGGUGGCCUGUGAGGGUUGCUGGAGGUAUCAGAAGUGCGAAUGCUGACAUAAGUAACGAUAAAGCGGGUGAAAAGCCCGCUCGCCGGAAGACCAAGGGUUCCUGUCCAACGUUAAUCGGGGCAGGGUGAGUCGACCCCUAAGGCGAGGCCGAAAGGCGUAGUCGAUGGGAAACAGGUUAAUAUUCCUGUACUUGGUGUUACUGCGAAGGGGGGACGGAGAAGGCUAUGUUGGCCGGGCGACGGUUGUCCCGGUUUAAGCGUGUAGGCUGGUUUUCCAGGCAAAUCCGGAAAAUCAAGGCUGAGGCGUGAUGACGAGGCACUACGGUGCUGAAGCGACAAAUGCCCUGCUUCCAGGAAAAGCCUCUAAGCAUCAGGUAACAUCAAAUCGUACCCCAAACCGACACAGGUGGUCAGGUAGAGAAUACCAAGGCGCUUGAGAGAACUCGGGUGAAGGAACUAGGCAAAAUGGUGCCGUAACUUCGGGAGAAGGCACGCUGAUAUGUAGGUGAAGCGACUUGCUCGUGGAGCUGAAAUCAGUCGAAGAUACCAGCUGGCUGCAACUGUUUAUUAAAAACACAGCACUGUGCAAACACGAAAGUGGACGUAUACGGUGUGACGCCUGCCCGGUGCCGGAAGGUUAAUUGAUGGGGUUAGCGGUAACGCGAAGCUCUUGAUCGAAGCCCCGGUAAACGGCGGCCGUAACUAUAACGGUCCUAAGGUAGCGAAAUUCCUUGUCGGGUAAGUUCCGACCUGCACGAAUGGCGUAAUGAUGGCCAGGCUGUCUCCACCCGAGACUCAGUGAAAUUGAACUCGCUGUGAAGAUGCAGUGUACCCGCGGCAAGACGGAAAGACCCCGUGAACCUUU
rnacentral:rRNA from 1 species